GGUGGAAUGGAAAUCAACUGAGACUCCCCUAGUAGCGGCGAGCGAACGGGGACCAUGCCUAAACCGGUGGGAAGCAAUUCCUACCGGGGUUGUGGGACUCCAACAUGGGAUCUGGAAGGGUAGGAGAACGGUCUGGAAAGGCCGGCCAGAGAGGGUGACAGCCCUGUAUCCGAAACCUCGAAGGACCCUAGGAGAUUCCCGAGUACCACGGGGCACGUGAAACCCUGUGGGAAUCUGGGUGGACCAUCAUCCAAGGCUAAGUACUACCUGGCGACCGAUAGUGAACCAGUACCGUGAGGGAAAGGCGAAAAGAACCCCUGUUAGGGGAGUGAAAUAGAACCUGAAACCGUGUGCGUACAAGCAGUGGGAGCCCGGCCUCGGCUGGGUGACUGCGUACCUUUUGUAUAAUGGGUCAGCGACUUACUUCUCAGUGGCAAGCUUAACCGUUUAGGGUAGGCGUAGCGAAAGCGAGUCUUAAUAGGGCGUCUUAGUCGCUGGGAGUAGACCCGAAACCGGACGAUCUAGCCAUGGCCAGGUUGAAGGUCGGGUAAUACCGACUGGAGGACCGAACCAACUGAUGUUGAAAAAUCAGUGGAUGAGCUGUGGCUAGGAGUGAAAGGCUAAACAAGUCCGGAGAUAGCUGGUUCUCCCCGAAAACUAUUUAGGUAGUGCCUCGUGUCUCACUUCUGGGGGUAGAGCACUGUUAUGGCUAGGGCCACGUCUAGUGGUACCAACCCAUUGCAAACUCCGAAUACCAGAAAGUGCAAUCACGGGAGACAGACGGCGGGAGAUAAGUUUCGUCGUCGAAAGGGAAACAGCCCAGACCGCCAGUUAAGGUCCCCAAAUCACAACUAAGUGGGAAACGAUGUGGGAAGGCCCAGACAGCCAGGAGGUUGGCUUAGAAGCAGCCACCCUUUAAAGAAAGCGUAAUAGCUCACUGGUCGAGUCGGCCUGCGCGGAAGAUGUACCGGGGCUAAGUUGUGUACCGAAACUGCGGAUGCAAGCUUUGCUUGCAUGGUAGGGGAGCGUUCUGUAGGCCUGCGAAGGUGUGCCGUGAGGCAUGCUGGAGGUAUCAGAAGUGCGAAUGCUGACAUGAGUAACGAUAAAGGGGGUGAAAGACCCCCUCGCCGGAAGUCCAAGGUUUCCUGCACAAUGUUAAUCAGUGCAGGGUUAGUCGGGUCCUAAGAUGAGGCCGAAAGGCGUAAUCGAUGGUUAACAGGUUAAUAUUCCUGUACCGCGUCUAACUGCGAUGGGGUGACGGAGAAGGCUAGGCCAGCCGGGUGUUGGAUAUCCCGGUUUAAGCGAGUAGGGAGUACCCUUAGGUAAAUCCGGGGGUGCAAUUCCGAGACGUGAUGACGAGGUUUCUUUUGAAACCGAAGUGGUUGAUGCCAUGCUUCCAGGAAAAACCUCUAAGCUUCAGGUUAGAUGUGUCCGUACCCUAAACCGACACAGGUGGACAGGGCGAGAAGCCCAAGGCGCUUGAGACAACUCGGGUGAAGGAACUCGGCAAAAUGACACCGUAACUUCGGGAGAAGGUGUGCCCCUGGUAGGUGAAGGUCUUCGCGACCGGAGCCCAAGGGGGUUGCAAUAAAGAGGUGGCUGCGACUGUUUAUUAAAAACAUAGCACUCUGCAAACUCGUAAGAGGACGUAUAGGGUGUGACGCCUGCCCGGUGCCGGAAGGUUAAUUGAUGGGGUUAGUCCUCGGACGAAGCUCUUGAUCGAAGCCCCGGUGAACGGCGGCCGUAACUAUAACGGUCCUAAGGUAGCGAAAUUCCUUGUCGGGUAAGUUCCGACCUGCACGAAUGGCGUAACGAUGGCCACACUGUCUCCACCCGGGACU
rnacentral:rRNA from 1 species